UAAAUCAUGCAGUAGAGAAUCAUGUAAGCGAGUAUCUGAUAAUUAU
rnacentral:guide_RNA from 1 species